rnacentral:rRNA from 1 species
UACGUAGGGGGCAAGCGUUGUCCGGAUUUACUGGGCGUAAAGGGCGCGUAGGCGGCCACCGCAAGUCGACUGUGAAAUCUCCGGGCUUAACCCGGAAAGGUCAGCCGAUACUGCGGGGCUAGAGUGCAGAAGGGGCAACUGGAAUUCUCGGUGUAGCGGUGAAAUGCGUAGGAUAUCGAGAGGAACACCUGCGGCGAAGGCGGGUUGCUGGGCUGACACUGACGCUGAUGCGCGAAAGCGUAGGGGAGCGAACGGG